rnacentral:rRNA from 1 species
AUUGAACGCUGGCGGCAGGCCUAACACAUGCAAGUCGAACGGUAACAGGAAGCAGCUUGCUGCUUCGCUGACGAGUGGCGGACGGGUGAGUAAUGUCUGGGAAACUGCCUGAUGGAGGGGGAUAACUACUGGAAACGGUAGCUAAUACCGCAUAACGUCGCAAGACCAAAGAGGGGGACCUUAGGGCCUCUUGCCAUCGGAUGUGCCCAUAUGGGAUUAGCUAGUAGGUGGGGUAACGGCUCACCUAGGCGACGAUCCCUAGCUGGUCUGAGAGGAUGACCAGCCACACUGGAACUGAGACACGGUCCAGACUCCUACGGGAGGCAGCAGUGGGGAAUAUUGCACAAUGGGCGCAAGCCUGAUGCAGCCAUGCCGCGUGUAUGAAGAAGGCCUUCGGGUUGUAAAGUACUUUCAGCGGGGAGGAAGGGAGUAAAGUUAAUACCUUUGCUCAUUGACGUUACCCGCAGAAGAAGCACCGGCUAACUCCGUG